CAGAGUACUAUUCCCUUGUGUGGCUUCCUGGGAAUCUAAAGAGGCCUACCAAGUGCUAAGCAUCUUCUGUGGUGGUUGGAGAAGGUAUUUCAGCAUGUCUCAGACCACUGGGUCCCUAAAAAUGUCACCAGCAUGGUGCCUCAAUUGCCUCACUCUAUUCUCAAAUCUAUAGCUGAAGCACAGAGGUUAUUUUUAAUGAGCUGAACUUCAGAGAAGGCUGGAUUCCCAGCCUGGUCAAGAAUCCUACACCAAAGUUCUGGCUCUAAUAGAGAAGGAACAAGGCCUUGAGAUUUGGAAUGGGGCUAUCUGGGGAGAGGUCCUUGAGAAACCUGAAUCUCAUAAUCUGUCUGAGUCCUCUGGGCUUGCAGAAGUAGUUCACAUCCUUGGAAGGUAGAACUCACUCCCUUCCUUGAAGACUACACAGAAGGCUCAAAUGAGAUGCAUGCCUGAUAAAAUAUUUUCCCUCCUCAGCAACUGCCUGCACCUAAUCUCCUGCCCAACAGACCUAUAAUAAAUGUCGAAUUUCAGCAGAAACCUCCUGAAAAAGUGUUGGGCCUGAUGAGGUGGGUGAGAGACGUCAAAGGAGCAUGAGGGCCCAGCUGAGAUGCAGGAAGGAACCAGGGCAGCAUACAUGGGAACGGAUCCCGAGGUUGCUGAGUCCACUGGAGGAGGAAUAUACAUCGGGAUAAGAGAUAGUUUGCCAAAAUGAGGGCACUCACCCUUGGCACAAGACUUAGUGCCCUGGAAAGGACCUUGAGUGUCAGAGCUGGGAAUUCCUUGGGAAGCUUAGAAAAAGUGAUGGGCCACAUUGGAUGAGGUACAGAUGCUAGAACUGCCUAGACAGACUGACUUUUGAGGAAGGGAUCAUGCUAAAGUGGAUCUACUGCAUAAGACAACCAUGAUCUAUUCUGUAAGAGCUAAUAAUGUUCCUCAGCAGAGUGUUAAGGACACUGUUUAAUGAGAUGAUAAUAAAUGCAUUGGUAAGACGGCACCUGCAUUGAUGGCAAGCUACCCUCUAUGAGCUGGAACUGACAGGAAGCCCUGUUUUUAUGGAACUGGGCUCACUGGAAGCAAUGGAGAUGAUAGGGUCUCUGAAGAGCAGAGGCCAAGUGGCCACACUUAAUCCUCCAAACAAGAUGCUGCCUCCACAUUUCCUGUCCACCCACUGCUGGAUCCAGCCCUGGCCCCUUCUGGAUGCUUCAGGAGGACACUUUAUCAGAGUGAUUGUUCAUCAUGUGUAAAAGCACACCAUCUGGCACAUGUGAAUGCCGAAAUUGCACUCUUUAGCCCUUCCCUGGCUCAGAGCCUACUACUCAUGCACACAGGAUGGCCAGCAGGCCCACAGGCUGUGGAAGGAAGAGAAACUAUUGGAAAACAUGAAAUGCUCCACAGCUCCACAGCUGGAGACUCAUGCUAGUGAUGAUUACUGCUAAUUACUUGUGAGGACCCACAGAAAGAGUGCCCCCCACCAAGGUAUGCCAGUCUCAUUCCUACAACCUGAUAUUCCCUGACUAGGCAGCUUCAGUGACCAAUUGCUUAAUAUCAGAGACGUUUUCUUUGACUUACCACGCAGGUGAUGCAUGGUAAAUCCUUUUCAAAGUGAAUGUCUUCUU